rnacentral:rRNA from 1 species
UACGUAGGGGGCAAGCGUUAUCCGGAAUCACUGGGUGUAAAGGGAGCGUAGACGGUUGUGCAAGUCUGGAGUGAAAGGCGGGGGCCCAACCCCCGGACUGCUCUGGAAACUGUGUAACUGGAGUGCAGGAGAGGCAGGCGGAAUUCCUGGUGUAGCGGUGAAAUGCGUAGAUAUCAGGAGGAACACCGGUGGCGAAGGCGGCCUGCUGGACUGUAACUGACGUUGAGGCUCGAAAGCGUG